CUUUGGUUUGUCUUUCGUUGCUUUGUUCUUUUGUUGCUUUGUUUGUACGUUUUGUUGAAUUAUUUGUUCAAUGCACUAAGAAUCUGGACAACUCACAGUCAAGAUCUUCCAUCUGGUAACACUCUUGUGUUCCCUUAAAACUGCAGAGGACCUGAUUCUACCUGAAAAUACAGUUUUAAAGGGGCACCGGGAAAACAGAAGUGAGGGAAAAGCUAUCGAAGUAAUCUGCGUCCCGGCUGGUGCUGCAGGGCGCUGAGGUUCUGAUACUCAGAAAGUGCUGCACAUCAGCCAGUGAGCAGGAAACCAGGUCUGCGGAAAGGGAAUGAACCAGGAGUUGAGCGCCCUCUGAGAUGCUCAGAGCAAUUACCUGGAAGACCACAGCGCCCCCUGUUGUCCUGCCUCCAACUGCAGCCUCCCCACCAGGCACAGCACACGUUGGGCACCCAUUGAACCUUGAACACUAGUUCAACAUAUCCUGCAAAUAGCCUAUGAGAACAUGACCACAAAGGCCCAGGAAGGAUUCCAGCGUGAGCCCCAGAGCCCCGGGAAGUAUUCUAGCGUGAGCCCCAGAGUCUUUAUUUUACUUUAAAUUUAGUAGUGCUAGUUUGUGAUUCCACAA
rnacentral:lncRNA from 10 species